AUCGCUUCUCGGCUCUCUGAGCUAAGAUCAAAAGUGUAGUAUCUGUUCUUAUCAGCUUAAUAUCUGAUACAAUCCCCAUAGGGGAUUCAGAAUAUUAAUCUGUUUUUUGUACUCAGGUGGGGCGUUUUGGGGCUUGCUCCAACCCCGCCAAGGUCGACCCGAUAUUGCAGUUUAAUCGGGACCGGCCUAACCUGA
rnacentral:snRNA from 1 species